GGGUCAGUAGGUUGGUCGUGCCACCGGUACGUACUGGUCUCACUGAUUCCUCCUUCCUGAAGAACCGUAAUGCCAUUAAUUUGGUGUUGCGGGGAAACAGGACUGUUACUUUGAAACAAUUAGAGUGUUUAAAGCAAGCUAACGCUUGAAUACAUUAGCAUGGAAUAAUGAAAUAGGACGAUCGAUCCUAUUUUGUUGGUUUCUAGGAUUGACGUA
rnacentral:rRNA from 1 species